rnacentral:rRNA from 1 species
UUGACGGGGCCGCACAAGCGGUGGAGCAUGUGGUUAAUUCGACGCAACGCGAAGAACCUUACCAGGGCUUGACAUCCCCUGACCGCGUAUGAAAGUACGUUUUCACCCUCGGGUGACAGGGAGACAGGUGGUGCAUGGUUGUCGUCAGCUCGUGUCGUGAGAUGUUGGGUUAAGUCCCGCAACGAGCGCAACCCCUACGUUUAGUUGCUAACAGGUGAAGCUGAGCACUCUAGACGAACUGCCGUUGACAAAACGGAGGAAGGUGAGGAUGACGUCAAAUCAUCAUGCCCCUUAUGUUCUGGGCUACACACGUGCUACAAUGGCCGGUACAGACGGAGGCGAAGCCGCGAGGCGGAGCAAAUCCGAAAAAGCCGGUCUCAGUUCGGAUUGCAGGCUGCAAUUCGCCUGCAUGAAGUCGGAAUCGCUAGUAAUCGCAGGUCAGCAUACUGCGGUCGAAUACGUUCCCGGGCCUU